CAGGACCCCGAGUGUGAGUUCUACUUCAGCCUGGACGCCGACACUGUCCUCACCAACCUGCAGACCCUGCGUAUCCUCAUUGAGGAGAACAGGAAGGUGAUCGCCCCCAUGCUGUCCCGCCACGGCAAGCUGUGGUCCAACUUCUGGGGCGCCCUGAGCCCCGAUGAGUACUAUGCCCGCUCCGAGGACUACGUGGAGCUGGUGCAGCGGAAGCGAGUGUGAGUCCCGCCAGCCUGCAGCCCCCCGCCUCCUCCGACCCGGGGCCCAGGUAGACCCAAGCCCCCUACUCUCAGGGGUUUGGAGUGGUCACCAGUCAGAGGUGCCACGAGGCUGGCUGCAGUGGCUCACACUUUUGAUGCCACCACUUUGGGAGGCCGAGGUAGGAGGACUGCUUGAGCCUGGGAGUUUAAGAUCAGCCUGAGCAACAUAGCAAGAGCCUAUCUCUACAAAAAACUUAAAAUAUUAGCUGGGCACGGUGGUACGUGCCUGUGGUCCCAGCUACUAU
rnacentral:sRNA from 1 species